rnacentral:rRNA from 1 species
AUUGAACGCUGGCGGCAGGCCUAACACAUGCAAGUCGAACGUUUGUCGGACUUUUUAGUCAUUUCUGGGAACCUGCCUGAUGGCGUGGGAUAACUACUGGAAACGGUAUCUAAUACCGCAUACCAUCUUCUGUGCCCAGAUGGGAGUAGCUAGUAGGUGGGGGAACGGGUCACCUAGGCGACGAUCCCUAGCUGGUCUGAGAGGAUGACCAGCCACACUGGAACUGAGACACGGUCCAGACUCCGACGGGAGGCAGCAGGGGGGAAUAUUGCACAAUGGGCGCAAGCCUGAUGCAGCCAUGCCGCGUGUAUGAAGAAGGCCUUCGGGUUGUAAAGUACUUUCAGUGGGGAGGCGUUACCCGCAGAAGAAGCACCGGCUAACUCCGUGCCAGCAGCCGCGGUAAUAG